AACCACUCAACUUCUCUGAAGGAUUUGGGCUGUUCAUGAAUUUUCACAACAUUCCAGUGAAUGUCACAGGACUUACAUGCAGCCACAUGUGCAAGGAUUUCUGUAGUGCAGACUUCUGGAAAGGUGGAAUUGAUGGAGCAUAGAGCAAAGACACUUUCAGAAGAGGAAAGAAGGGCUGGAAGGAAAAGCAUCAGGGGAAUGACCCUUACGUCUCUUCUCCUCCCUCCAGUCUCCCACCAGUGUUCCCAUUGGCUGAAGCCAACCAGAAGCCACAGGGAAUCCUGGGGUCAGCAUCAUCCCAAUUUCACAGAGUAUGACAUGAAGUCUCAGAGAGGGUAAGCAGCUUGCCAAACAUUCCACAGCCAGGAAGCUGUAGGACCAGCCUGUGCUCCUAAGGACUGGCUCCUGGCUGCUAUAUAUAGAACUAAGCCUGGUGGAGGUGUCAGAAAUAGAGGUUCACUUCUGUCAUCACCGACCUCCCUCCACACCUUUGCAAAGGAGGAAACUGAGAGGCAGGGAUUUCCGCAAAGCAAGGAACCCAAACUGCUGCCUCCUGUGAUUUAUACACUGCACCCCAAGCUGUAGGGGUAACCCAAGGACAAAGCUGUAACCCAAGCGGGAACAUAUGCCCCAUCUGGGGCCACCAAAAUCUUACCAGCUUCCUCAGCUGGUGGAUGGGUUAAUUCACGGCCACAGCCCCCCGGAGCUGGGGGAAAGGAAAGCCCGGGCCUCUCCGCAAACCAGCCCAGAGAGAGGUCUGCGGAAGGGCCAGGAAGCCUGCAGGCCCCUCUGCACCCCCAACCCCACCGCCAUCCUGGACCUCCAAGAUGACCUGGUCCAACACAGUCCUGCAAGGAAAAGACUGGAACCCAGGGAGGAGCAGAGCCCCGCCCAAG